UACGUAGGGUGCGAGCGUUGUCCGGAAUUAUUGGGCGUAAAGAGCUUGUAGGCGGUUUGUCGCGUCUGCUGUGAAAAUCCGGGGCUCAACCCCGGACUUGCAGUGGGUACGGGCAGACUAGAGUGUGGUAGGGGAGACUGGAAUUCCUGGUGUAGCGGUGGAAUGCGCAGAUAUCAGGAGGAACACCGAUGGCGAAGGCAGGUCUCUGGGCCACUACUGACGCUGGAGGUGACGAAAGCGUGGGGAGCAAACAGG
rnacentral:rRNA from 1 species